GAUGAACGCUGGCGGCGUGCCUAAUACAUGCAAGUCGAGCGAAUGGAUUAAGAGCUCGCUCUUAUGAAGUUAGCGGCGGACGGGUGAGUAACACGUGGGUAACCUGCCCAUAAGACUGGGAUAACUCCGGGAAACCGGGGCUAAUACCGGAUAACAUUUUGAACCGCAUGGUUCGAAAUUGAAAGGCGGCUUCGGCUGUCACUUAUGGAUGGACCCGCGUCGCAUUAGCUAGUUGGUGAGGUAACGGCUCACCAAGGCAACGAUGCGUAGCCGACGUGAGAGGGUGAUCGGGCACACUGGGACUGAGAAACGGCCCAGACUCCUACGGGAGGCAGCAGUAGGGAAUCUUCCGCAAUGGACGAAAGUCUGACGGAGCAAAGCCGCGUGAGUGAUGAAGGCUUUCGGGUCGUAAAACUCUGUUGUUAGGGAAGAACAAGUGCUAGUUGAAUAAGCUGGCACCUUGACGGUACCUAACCAGAAAGCCACGGCUAACUACGUGCCAGCCGCCGCAGUAA
rnacentral:rRNA from 1 species